CAUAUCUGAUAUUUGACGAUGAGCAGGUAGACUUUCUACUAUAAAGAUGUUUCAGUAUUGCUCAAUGCGUUAUUGGUGAACCUAAUAGACUGGUGACCGCACAACACUGCAGUAUUUUAAAGUUGCCAUGGCAACGAUCGAGCCCCGGCUGUUCUGCGCAUUACUUUUUCGGAGAACUCCAUGAAGGUUUUAUUACGUGGUUGUUCAACCAGCAUAUAGCUGCACUUUGGUGGUCCGAAUAAUAAUUUCUGAAUAAAUACAGAUUUACGGAAAGAUGGCUGAAGACGAAAUGCUGCUGCCUCUGCAGAGUGAGAAUGAAGACAGCGGCAUUGAUAGUGAUGAGGAGCAGCAAGACAACCAACUGGACCCUGAGCAGCAAUAUGCAGAGGGCUACAGCAGCGAUGAUGAAGCCAACCAGAAUAAUGUCUACGAACCGAUGCUGCCACAAAACGAUGACUUUGAGCGACUGAAAAUGAUGUCUCUUCACACGGUGGAGCAGUAUCAUUACGAACAUGAGAGGAGUUUGGACAGGUGCUCGCCGCAACUCUUCGAGGUGGAGUUGACAGCUUCUGAUGAAGAUGACGAUGGUUCCAUGUUGGAGCUGGUGAUUCCACUGCAGUCUCGUUACAAAAGAAAUGCUGAACACGAGUCGAUGUGGUUCUGGUUCAACGCUUUGUUCUGCUUGGGUUGUUUCCAUUAAAUAUUCAUCUAUUUAACCGAAAGUAUUUAACCAAAGGGAGACUCGCUUGAAACGUACAACAAUACUUCUUUAACCGUUGUGAUGAGGUCAAGUAAUGCAUAUUUGAAAUAAGGCAAAAAAAAGCCAACGAGGUAACAGGAAAGUUCUUAACAGAUUUAUUGUUAUAUUCGUUUUCUCGACUUAUGUAGUGUGAACGAGAUAAAAUACACGUCAGUUUAUAUCAUAUACUUUUUAGGGCGAUAAGUGAGUGAAUGAUCUGCGCAUAACAGUUAAAUACGAUAGGAAACAAAUAGCGAUCUCGAUCACAUUGCACUUUGCCUAGAUGUAAAGAUGGAAAUCUCAUGUGCCUGAUAUUAAAUUGGCACCCACACAUUCCCCUAAAAUGUCCUACUUUAGAUACUUAAUGAGAUCCGAUAUAAAGGCAUUUAAGUUUAUAGCAUACUUCCACCUUAGAGGCAAGCAACGCACUCUAAUAUUUAAGAUGAAAAGUAAAAAAAUGCUAACACCAAACACCACACAAAACACAAUUAAUUUUAGUUGUAACAUCGAGGGCGCAGCACUGUUGCCAUUAGACAAAAGAAACACGAUUUGUUGUGUGAACAUCUAAACAUAUCAUUCAUUAUUUAAACUGUCCUGUAAAAAUGAAAAUAGCUUAGAAAAUGCUUUACAUGUUUUUCAUACAACGGUUAAGAGUAUGAGAUGUCCUAAUACCGUCUCCGGCAGGUUAAAUACUCUAGGUAUUACAUUCCAUUCGUUGUUUCCACCUCUAGAAAAACUUGUGUUGAACAAAACAUUACUUCUAACAGGUUCAUGCUUCAUAGUAUAACUAAUUAUAUACUAACUAUUUAGUUAUAAGUAAUAAUAUUAUUUUUGCAGUCACUAAAAUUAUUGUAUCUUUAACUGUCGCAGGUAGAGUCGCUUCUAACGCGGGGAGUUAUCGCAUAUAAGUGUUAUUUUCAAAUAAACAUUCAAAUAUCGCAAAGUUUUCUUGCCUAACGUAACACGGAGGAAAUAUCUUAUAACUAACAGAUAAUCAUAUUAAAUUUUCGUUUAAAUUAUAUUUUUAUAAAUAUGAGAAUAAUUUAUUAUAGUAUAUAACAAUAUCUAUAUAAUAUAUAUGUACAUAAUUAAAUAAUACAUUUGAUGAAACUUAAGAAGUUUAUUAUGUGCAAGUAAUAUUUCUGCAAGAAAGUUAUUUAUUUUGUAAACUUACUUAUUUACUAUAUCAAAUUUUAAUUUGUAGACAGUCACCUGUUCCAUGUAUACGAAGCAAUUGUUGAUAGGGUUGCCAUCUUUGUCUGCAAGUUGAAUGUCUCUGAUUUCAGUGAAGGUAAAUUAAAAAGUACAGAUUAAUAAAAAGGAGUUUAGUUGAUUUAAUAUAAAAAUGUAUUUCAUUGUUAUUUUAUUUAUUUAAGGGAUUGGUAACUUGACCAUAAGCUCAAAACAAAAUAUAAUAAAAAAAGACUAUUACAGUCAUUUCCAAUAUAGGUAUUAUUGAUUACGAAAAAAGCUCCGUUAAGUGUAAAAAAAAGUAGUAAUGUAAUUUAGACCUCCAUUAAUAUAUCUUACAUGUGACGCCAUUGAUUAUAGAUGCGAUCUAUUACAUUAGUAAAAAAAAUGUAAAACCCCUUUUUGUUUUAUGUAAAGAGAGUAUAAAAAAUAACAUAAUAGUAUAUGUGAAAUAGAGUUCAAAACUAUUUUUAUGGAACGGUUGGCGACCCUAACAGUUGGUGACUUUUGAUAUUGGGUAUAUUUAAACAAUAUGUUAUGUUUUUAAAGUGAUAACCAUCACUUCUAGGAUUAAUACACAAAUAAAAUUUGAAAAACAAAAUUUCAUGAACGAUGCGGUACUCGAACGGUUAGCUCAGUUAGUUCACCGGCACGGAACGCCGGAGGUCGUGAGUUCGAAUCCCGCAUCGUUCAUAAAAUUUUGUUUUUCAAAUUUUAUUUGUGAUUUGGGUAUAUUACUACCUGCGUAUCUACAGAACUACAUAAUAUUUUUUUUUUAUUAUUUUUAUCUGGAAUUAUUAUAAUAAUAAUAUAAAAAUGUACAUUAUUAUAUAUUUUCAUAAUUGUUAUUUGGUUGUUCGUAUAAAUUACGUAAUUAUAAACAUGGUCUAUUAUAAAAGGUUGUAAGCAUUAUAUUCGUUAUUAAUUAUUAAUAAUUACAUACACAAAUAUGCCAAAUGUAUGUAAAACACAAAUAUGCAUACACUUCGCUGUAUGUAUUAAAUAAUUAAGCAAUUAAUUGCAUAUUAUAUUUACUGCGCUAAAAUUGUUGAUUAUUUAACAAUAAUGUAGUUUUGCUUUAUGGUAUACGUAUCUAUUGAAUACUAAUAUAUAAUGUUAUUUGAAUGUUAUAUUUUUAAACAAAUAAUUUCUAAUUGCAGCUAUAGUUGCAUUUGUUUAAGGCACUUGUCCCACCGCCGUGAGAAAGCGAUUAUCAACUAUUUUGUCACUCAAGAAAUCUUAGAUAAUUUAUACGUCGAGAUAGAUUAUGACAGCUGUCGUCGUCGAAAAAUUUGAGUUUAGCGUUGAUAUAUAUAUAGCGUGUAUUGAGCAAUGCACGCACACUAACAGAAACUAUCAUACAAAUCGCUAGUGUAAGACGAAUUUUGUCACGCGCACUAAAGUAUUAAACCUGGCCUGUUUUUAUCGGUUGUCAAACAAACUUUUAUUGAACUUAUUUUUGUUACUACGAUUUCAUUCGCAAGCGAUUUAGCUGUUGAUCAACUAAAAUCGCUUCGUGUGAACCCUUUGUCAGAACGGCAACCAUUUUCUACUAUAGUGCGAGUAAUGUCAGGAGGUCUAUUUCCAAAAUCGAAUGCCGAAGUUUCGGUCCGAACAAAAAAACGACGAACUUCGAAUUAAAUCCUAUUAUCAAAGUACUUCGGAUCCGAAUAGUGCCUUCGGAUUUCAUUUCGGAACCAAAUACAUAACCAUUAAAAGUGAAGUUGUAGUUACGAUCAUAAUAAUGUCAAACAACGAAAAAGUAAAUGUCAAGUGAAUUUGGGAAUAAGGUAAAUGAAAGACAAAAUGUCUAACUGCGAACUUCGUUCGAUGUUCGGAUCCGAAACACUUUUGUAAUAGGAAAAUGUAUGAUCCGUCAACCGAAACUUCGUAUUUCGAUUUUGGUAAUAAAGCUCCUGUUGCAAUCAUACACUCCAAUAGGCCAGCGAACAAAACUAUCGGAACUACACUCUUCUUACAACUCGCUAACUUAUCUCGCUUUCUAUGGCUACUCGCUUCUUGUUUAUAGCUAGCAGUGAGACAAGUGCCUUAAGUUUUACUUUAUAAUUGCGUCUUACAUUAUAUAUACUACUAUAUAAAAAGUUAUUACAAGAAUUAAAUUAGGGAAUCUAUCUAUGUGCUAAAUAAAUCCUCCCCAAUAAGCUUAUAUUUAAUACCUUUUUAUACAGAUUUUUAUAAUGCUUUUUAACUCAUUUAUUUUUAAAAUUUUCAAUUCAUUAGAAAUUAUCAUCUAUAUUAUAAUCAUCAGUUUAAAACUUGUCAAUUUCUUAAAUCUAUUUAAAUAAACUUAUUAAAUUGUUAAAUUAGGAGGGAAACAAAAUAAAUGCCAUCUUAAUAACUGUAGUAGUGCAAAGAUUUCAAAUGUUUAUUAAUGUUAUACAAGUAAUUAGAUGUCUACGUAAAUUUUAAAAUUUCAUAAUACUUCUCAAGAGUAGGUACAAGUACUUGUUGUUACUUUUUAUAAUAUAUAUAUUGUCAGUAGACUUUUGACUAUCUAAUAGUUUGCUUAUCAUUUUGCAAUUUUCAUAUUAAGUAUUUUUAUAGAAGUUAUCUAUCUCCGAGAUGAAAAGCUAUUGCAUCGUACUGGGGAAAUUUCAAAUAUUUUUAUUCAAAAUAGGAUGUGACAUCACUUAUUGAAAGUAGAAAAAACCUACCACCCAAUCCAAAAUGAAUGCCUCAGGCCUGAGAAGAAUGGGCGCAAUAAAGUCAGCGGGCUUUUUUUUUCAUCAAAAAUAUAUUUACAAGGUAAUAUUUAUUGUACAAUUAAACUUAUUAUUUAAUAGCCUGACGCGGUCGCUCCAUUCCCAAUGUUUAUGAUAUCAAUUUUUGCAUUAGAAAAGAAAAAAGAAAUUACUUAAACCAUUUCUUUUUUCUUUUCUUUCAUAUCUCAUUUCUAGCCUGGUAUUCACCAAAGGGGAGAGGAGAGGAGAUGCAUUUUGAUAAACAAUCCGAUUUCAUUAUUUCCACAUGUCUUCGCUUAGCUUCGGUGAAAAUGGAUUAAGCGGAGAGGAGAUGUCUCAUUUGUCUAUAGAAUUUUGCGCCGUUUAAGUGAUCAAGAGUAAAUAAGCACAGCUCACAUCUCCACUCCGCCUUGGUGGAAAUAACCUGACAGCUACGCAGCUUAUCUCUUCUCCUCUCCGCUUUGAUGCACACCGGGCCUUAAGGUAUACAAAGGAAAUCGGCACUAAUGCCAGAUGGAUCGAUCAUCUACAAACAACUUCGUCGUUAAACAAUAUUUUUCUCCACUGGCCUUCAAUCCUCUUCUAGACGGGUCCGUCUGGAACACGCUUCACCAUCUGUUCCGUCUAAUGUUUUCCUCUUUAUCCUGAUCAACAAGAUGCUCUAUAUAUUGGUUGCCUCCUUUUGCCUCUUUGUGCCUAAAUGGAAAUAAUAUGUACUAAAGAAUACCAAAAACUAAAUCACAAGAAACGAAUAAGUACAAUCUUGGAAAAUUCCGCAUCCCCCAAUACGUUGAAUAGUUUUUGCGUCUCAAAUAAAAGUCAUUUAUAUUUUUUAUUUAUAUUAGAUCCCCGAUCUGUAACCGUUAUUGUAUCUAUUUGCCUAAUAGUUAAUAUCAGAAGAAUCUAGUUUAGUGUUGUGAAUUCAUUAUUAGUGUUUAAAUGUUCUAUUUCAAAUGUGAUUCUUAAUAAGAAUAAUAUACGUGUUCUAUGUUUGUAUUUUUUGAAAAUCAUACACUUUAUAAUUCCACUGUAACUAUUUAAAAUUAGUACAAUUUUUUUACUUUAGUACUGUUUUAAUAAUUUUUUAGUGAUACUGUCUAUAGGUUCAAAAUACAAGCGGUAAGUAUAAUACGCCAAAACUUAAAAGCUCUUGAUCUCCUACAGUUUUGUACACGUGUAGGUUUAAUAAUUUUACAACGAUUACAAAUACUACUUCCCUACGAAACAAAAGGACUGGAUAUAUCAGCAAUUUCUUUUUCUGAAAUCACAUUUCCCAAACUAACAAUGAUUUAAAUAUUUUUUCCACGUAAUUAUAAAGAUGAAAUCGUGCUUCUUAUUCAUGACCAUAAUUUAUUUAUUUAAUAAAUAGGAUGCCAACGGUGUAUACUAUAUAAUCCUUAAAGUAAUAAACAAUUAAAAUGUGAGUAAAGGUGAGAAUAAAAUAUAAAAUUAAACAAGAAACAAAAACCAAUCAUGCAAUACAACAUUAGAACUAAGAGGCAUUUCUAAGUGGUGAACAUUUUUUUAACUGUCGUUAUUAAACGACAGAUAUUAAUAAAUCGAAACAAUAGCUUUGCCGCAAAAUUAACAUUAAACACGGGAAGUAAGCUGGCUGAUAUAGCACCGUUAUAUAUGUAUGUUACAUAAAAGUGGUGAUUUCUCUCUCUUUUCCAUCACUUGGUCAUUUUUUACUGGCCAAAAUCAAUCUGCUUUUAUAUCCCAAUAUCCGGACGACCGAGCCUUGUUCGGAAUUUUAAGAAUGUACACAACUUGAACAAAAAAACUAAUAGGACAUCUGGAUUCGAACCAGGGUCUUCUGCUUUCCGGACCACCCAAUGUCCCAUGUGAGCUUUUAUAGUCUUGUAUAUAGUGGCAAAAUUUACCUUUGUAUUCUAAUGUUAUUGUAGCUGUUUCUCAUUAAAACACGGAUUACACUAAAUUUUUUAAAUUGCAACCUAGCUAGAUCGAUUUAUCGCCCCCCAAAUCCCCUGUAUACUAAAAUUUUAUGAAAAUCGUUGGAGCCGUUUCCGAGAUUCAGAUUAUAUAUAUAAGAAUAGCUCGUUUAAAGAUAUAAGAUACAUCAUCGUUCUCCGUUUAUCUUUGGCGUACUAUAUUUGCCCAAGACAUUGCAAUUGUAGUAAGUUUAAGCUUGUACUAAUGUUUUAAAUUUAUCAAGACUGAUUUGGCCAAAACAGUCUUUCUAUUUUAUCUGUUGGUAGUCUGUCUACGUUCAUUAACAAUGUAUUAUUGUCUUUGUAAGUUGUGAAUACAAGAAAAUGCAGUCAAUACGUAAUGAACUUUCUAUUUCUUAUCAGUAUUUGUAUCAAAGAUAUUUGUCUAAAUAAACUAUUUGUCGUCA